rnacentral:rRNA from 1 species
CCUACGGGAGGCAGCAGUGGGGAAUUUUGGACAAUGGGCGCAAGCCUGAUCCAGCCAUGCCGCGUGCAGGAUGAAGGCCUUCGGGUUGUAAACUGCUUUUGUACGGAACGAAACGGCCUUUUCUAAUAAAGAGGGCUAAUGACGGUACCGUAAGAAUAAGCACCGGCUAACUACGUGUCAGCAGCCGCGGUAAU